AUUGAACGCUGGCGGCAGGCCUAACACAUGCAAGUCGAGCGAGCGGCCGACGGGUGAGUAAUGUAUGGGGACUGCCCGAUAGAGCGGGAUAUCUACCGGAAACGGUGGCUAAUACCGCAUACUAUCGGAUAACCCAUAUGGGAUUAGUUAUUAGCUUGGGUAAAGGCUCACCUAGGCGACGAUCCCUACCUGGUCUGAGAGGAUGAUCAGCCACACUGGGACUGAGACACGGCCCAGACUCCUACGGAGGCAGCAGUAGGGAAUAUUGCACAAUGGGCGCAAGGCUGAUGCAGCAAUGCCGCGUGUAUGAAGAAGGCCUUAGGGUUGUAAAGUACUUUCAGCGGGGAGGCGUUACCCGAAGAGGAAGCACCGGCUAACUCCGUGCCAGCCGCCGCGGUAAUUC
rnacentral:rRNA from 1 species